rnacentral:tRNA from 1 species
GGCGGCGUAGCUCAGGUGGUAGAGCAGGAGAAUCAUAAUCUCCGGGUCAGGGGUUCGAAUCCCUUCGCCGCCA